CCCUAGACUCCUUUUCUUCUAUAUAACUCUCCCAAAACCCUGUUGUUGCCUUCAUUGGUAGUUCUCCCCAAGUCCGCCGCAGAAUUACUUCCGAUUCAUUUCUGAGCUCGUUCUUUUCUGAUGAUUUCUGGUUCUGGAUUGAAUUCUACUCCGGUAGCUUGAUCAUUUUGUUCGUUGGUUUUUUAGUUUUUCCGUUGAAAGGUUGAAAAUUUUGAUGGUGUUUUUGCUAAUUUUACUCCGCGGAAUCAGCAUCUCCAAUUCACUUGCGAGAUUUUUUUUUUUGGUCUCAUUAGUGGUUGGAUCUGGGUCUAAUUCUACUCUGGUAGCUUGAGUUUUUUAGUUUCUGAUGCUUUGUGAUUGAAAAGUUGAAAACUUUGAUUGUAUUCUGCUAUUCCGAUUUCAUUGUUUUUUAUUAGAUUUUUUGCACGAAUUUCUCGUUAUUUAUAAAAUUUCUAGGUGUCUAAGAUGACACAAAAAGGCUCGAGAGCUUUCGCCUACGCCAGGCUUGAAAGCUUAUGCUGCCUUUUUAUUCUAAUUUCUAUCUGAGGCACCCCCUCCAUACCUCCAUUAUUACUACUUUUUUUCAAAAAACUUUAACGUGUAAGGAUAAAUGCUACAGGCAUGUAUGUUUAUAAAUUUAGGAGGGACUAUUAACGUUGGCCCUUUAGCAUUGGAUUGAAUUAUUGCUUCAGGGAUUUAGAAGUUCCUGAUAUGCAAUUUCAUCCAUCCAAUCACUUUGUCAGCAAUACCAUAUGUUUUGCUGGUCAUUCAAGGAUGGAAUACCAAAACUAUUGGUUCUGUUUUUGUUUUGGAUAUGUUUUGCUAAAUUGGAAAUUAGCAGUGAUGACAAAAUCUAAGGCUUGUUUCUCAAAACAUUCGCAGUGGCCGCCUAAGAGCUUUCGCCUUCGCCUUCGCCGGGCUUGAGAGCUUGUGCUGCUUCUAUCCUUCCUUGGAUGUCUGAGCGUUUACUCUUUCUUCGUUCUUUCUUUUCUAAUUCUUGGCUUUUUUUUUUCUUUUCUGUUCCUUGGUUUAAGUUUUGAAGUCUGUUCUUGUUUCUGGUUUAGGAUAGGAUCAAUGAUUUGAGUUUCAGUUGUAUGAGUUAUAACAUUUGGUUUAUGAUGACAAAUCCAAAGGCUUGUUUCUCAAAACAUUCGCAGUGGCCGCCUAAGAGCUUUCGUCUUCGCCAGGCUUGAGAGCUUAUGCUGCUUUUAUCCUUCCUUGGAUGUCUGAAACAUUUAUUUAUUAUCAUUCAGUGUGUUUUUUGUGCUGUGGUAUGUUCAAGAUGUACACCUUCUGUUGGAGAAGUUACUUGAUAGAUGGAACAUUGCAUGGUUUUAUCUGAUUAGGUAAUUUAUCUGUUGUGUUUUUGCUUGCCUGUCUUCUCUUCCUUAAAUAUUGAUGUACAAGUCCUUGAGAGAUUUUUUUGCUUCACGCGAGCAAGUUGGUUGAAGAGAGGCCCACUUACAGUGUGUCAGUGGAUAGGAUAGAUAAUUUUUACUUUGUACUUUCAUUAAUUUUGGUCCUCUGAAUUAGUGUUUCAAGAUAGGAUGAAUUAGUUGCCUAUGAAAUUGCAACCUUUGCGUGUUUAGGACUAUGAAACAUGGAAGAACUGUUAUCUGGGACUUCCAACGUCUGCCCCUUUGGCAUGUAUCUGGGUUGCUUUUGGGAUGAACAAGUCCCUUACAUCCAAUCAUCAUUCAUCCUAUACUUAAUCUGCAUUGCUGGUAUAUGUUUUGCUGAUUAUACGGGGAUGAAACAAAAUUUUCCUUCUUGGUGUUGUACUUUUUUGUUGCUUGGUACUAUUCUUUUUUCUAAUUGUUGUUAGGGAUUUAAUGCUGUUGAGAACUUUGAAAACUUAUAAACGAGAAAUGGGAAAAGCGAGUUCUGUUUGCUUCCUGAUGUUUAUUUGAUAGUGGCUCUUUAAUGACGAUUCUUUGUAUUGGGGCGAGCUGCUGUUGUGCUUGUAAAACCCACGAGUUUUUCAAUAAUCGUCAGACAUAAAGCACUUGUUUUUGUGGUUGAGGCUUCUAAUGAAGAAUCCCACUGUGAUGAGUUGCGAUCUCAUAUCCUAUCGCCUUGUGCAGCAGAGUCUCUGCUAUGACCUCUUGGGAUUGGCCAUGAGAAAUACAUUCAACACACACACACACACCGACACAUUUAUUACAGGUUUAUCAAAGUUCAAACAGAAAAUAUGCCUAUGAUGAGAUCUAUACCAAAAAUACCAUCUUUCGGGACUGAAUGGCUUGUUCAUAGCCUUGCUGUCAUUCUGCAAUUCUGAGGCAUUCUAUCUUAUUGAUAGCCCACUUAAGUAUUUUAAUUCACGUAUUUGAUUAGAUUAUCCCAUUAUCUCAACGGCCUGACCAUUUUUGCUUUGAAAACUUUGUUGCAAAAGUUUGUUGGUUAGUAAAGAAUUUAAGAUCAAAUAUUUUUCUAUACCUAUAGUGAUUCCACUACAGCUAAUUCAGUGCUUAUGGACGGUCCGGUGCUGUUUAGUUUUUGCACAACAGCACUUAACAUAAUCAUAAGCUAAAUUUAGUUUGGCCACCUUUUCUUUCAGGCCUCUUUCUCAAUUUAACCUAGAAGAGGCUAUCCUGUAGUGGCUGAUAUCUCAUAUGUAAAUUAUGAAAAUGUACAUGGAUUAAUACUGUUCAUUCAAUGUGCUGAAUAUGGGUUCUGCUUUCAGUUUGUGAUAAUUCUAUGAUUUCGAAUUGCAGGUCUUUGAUUUUGCUGUGAAGGAUAUUUUAGUUUAUUGUUUUGCCCCCAUUCACCUGAUGAUUUGACAGGUUCAAGUAAAUCAUCUGGAGAACCGACCCACACAAAAGCUACAAGCGUGUAUUACAUCAAUUUAGAUAUAGUACUAUUGGUGUCAUUAUAGCAAGCGAUCAAGGCCCAAUAGAUCUUAGAAAAUAUUUCUGCCAAAUAUAUAUUCUAUCAUCCAAGAAAUUGAAUGAUUCCUUAUUUCUUCUGACUUUGAAAUGAAAGUAUCGAUAGAUACUGUCAAGGGGCGAGUGGAUGUCCUUCAGGCUGUUCCUACCAGUUAGAAGGUUUAAGGUUUAAUGGAUGCAUAAUGUGUCAGGAUUGUAUCUGUAAAUCGCAGUAUCGAAUCAACUUUGAUGUACUGUGUUGAUUUAAUUUUGAGUUUGACAGAGUAAUAGUGGUACCAAAUUUGCCCGGAUCUUUCUAUGCAUUGUGCUGUAUUUUGUUUUCUUCUCCUGGUCGUAUUGAUCACAUUAAGAGCAUUUCCAUUAUAGAUCAAUUAUUUUUUUCGUAGUCAAUUAGAGGAUUCGACAAAGAUGUAGUACACAUAAUGGAAGGGACCCUGAGUACUGGUUAUACUGUUUCA